rnacentral:rRNA from 1 species
AACGAACGCUGGCGGCAGGCUUAACACUUGCAAGUCGAGCGCCCCGUAAGGGGAGCGGCAGACGGGUGAGUAACGCGUGGGAAUCUACCCAUCUCUACGGAAUAACGCAUGGAAACGUGUGCUAAUACCGUAUACGUCCUUCGGGAGAAAGAUUUAUCGGAGAUGGAUGAGCCCGCGUUGGAUUAGCUAGUUGGUGGGGUAAAGGCCUACCAAGGCGACGAUCCAUAGCUGGUCUGAGAGGAUGAUCAGCCACACUGGGACUGAGACACGGCCCAGACUCCUACGGGAGGCAGCAGUGGGGAAUAUUGGACAAUGGGCGCAAGCCUGAUCCAGCCAUGCCGCGUGAGUGAUGAAGGCCCUAGGGUUGUAAAGCUCUUUCACCGGUGAAGAUAAUGACGGUAACCGGAGAAGAAGCCCCGGCUAACUUCGUGCCAGCCGCCGCGGUAACAC